GGUGAGCCACCUGCCUCGGCCUCUUAAAGUGCUGGGAUAACAGACAUGAGCCAUCGUGCCUGGGCAUUACCUUUGUUUCAGGGCUGUGGCAACUAGAGCAGGGCAACCCCUUCACUCCUCCCCCAGAGCUGGUCACAGGCAGAGCUGAGCUUGAACUUGGGCUUCACACCUGUGUUCACACACACCACCUGUCAUUGUCUGUGACUUCCCUGUCUCUGCUCCUCAUCUUUCAAACGCUCCCUGGAGCUGUUUAGUGCCUAGAUGAUGUGUGUCUUAAUACCAGCCACUCUACUCGAAAGCAGAAUCUGUUUGAAAGCUGUGUUACAGGUUUUUCCAGAACUUCCAGUUUUAAAGAAUCUGUUCCCCUUGCCGCAGCUUCCUUUGUACCAUGCAGGCACCGGCUCUGAAGGGACCUUCUGCCAGGGGAUUUGAUUCCUUGGAUAGAGCCUUUCUGUCUAUCACUGACCUCAGGGCUAGCUCCCCAGAAUGUCACCUUCUCUAUGCUCAUUUCUGCAAAGUAGCAACAGGUCAGUUAGGAUGUGGAUUUUCUCGCUCUCUCAAAGGUUCUUUCAUUUAAAUAUGUUCAUUCAUUUUUCUCCUACCGCUCUCUUUCCUGAAAGAAUGAAGUUAGAGGAUUAGAUUGCUAAAUUUAGCUCUUGCUGACGCAUUGGCCUCUCACUAGCAGUCUCCUCGUGUCUCAGGGUUUCUCUGAGCCUUGCUUUUUUGCUGGUAGACGCACACCAUCACAUCCUACAUAAUAUUUAGCUGUGAGGCGUUUCCAGAUGGGAAGUGCGUUUCUGUAUUUUCAUAGCCGUGUUCUCUACGUGAAUGGACUGGCGUGAAGCUGGGGGCUGACGGCUGGCAGGGCAGGACUUCCUCGGGUGCUCCAGGAGCUUGUCAUUCCAGAGGCAGAGCAGCUCAGAAGUGCUGGGAUUUACACCUCUAGUAGAAACCCUCAACCAGAGGAUGGAAAUCAGUGGCUAUGAAAAGAAAGUAUUUGGAAGAUCACUGAUUCCUUCAUGGAGAGGCUGGCUUGGGAACAGAUGACGUGUCGAAGAUUAGCAUCAACCUUGAGCGCUUCUUCUAUGUGGACUUGAGAUAUGAAUGACUUAUCAUGCCUGUCCAGAGGCAGGAAAAGGAGAAACAACCUUAUUUGAGAAGGGAGGAUAUCACUGCAGUGGUUGUGAAACCGUGUUUGGAAGCUAGAUUGCACUAGACCACUAACGUAUGAUUUCACAGAAAUUCCCAAGAUCCCUGCGGGGGAAAUAACAAAGGUCCUGGGUGGCAUGGCAACAAUAGAUAUGACAGAAUUGGGAAUAACAUCAGGCUAAACCUGUCCAGGGAGACAGGGAGGAAAAGCAGCAGCAAGUACAACAUUCGGACCGAGAGUCUGAGCUUGAACAGAAUGUACCGGUGCUGUUGGGUGGCAGCCAGGCCCAACAAUUUAGCAUUGGGCUUUCUAAGCCUGGGGACAGAAGUGGCUUCCAUCCAGUUCUGCCUCUACUUACUAAAACAAACAGAUUGGCAAGGGAGAAAGAGCCUGUUCUAGGUGAAUAUAAUAAACAGGAAGUGUCCAUGGGAAGCAGUGAGGCCCACAGCUUAGGCUGUGAAUUCAGCUUAGGAACCAAGCGCUGACACAGAGCGCAAGUAAAGGAGAGUGGGCUUGACACAGAAGGUAAUAAGGGGCUGACCUGAAAAUGUUGAGCACACUGUGGAAGGCAUGAUAGGCUCGCUGGGAAGAAGCAUGAACCUGGACAUUUGAGUCCCUGUUGGUAGAUGAGGCAGAGAAAGUAGAGAUCAAAUGAUAUCUCUCCCCUGGAUGUUUUGGUUGCAAGUAGUGGAAAAGAUUUAAAAAAAAAAUUG